rnacentral:rRNA from 1 species
GUGCCAGCAGCCGCGGUAAGACGAACCGUCCAAACGUUAUUCGGAAUUACUGGGCUUAAAGGGUGCGUAGGCGGCGCGGAAAGUAGGGUGUGAAAUCCCUCGGCUUAACCGAGGGACUGCGUCCUAAACUACCGUGCUCGAGGGAGAUAGAGGUAAGCGGAACUUAGGGUGGAGCGGUGAAAUGCGUUGAUAUCCUAAGGAACACCGGUGGCGAAAGCGGCUUACUGGAUCUCUUCUGACGCUGAGGCACGAAAGCUAGGGUAGCGAACGGGAUUAGAUACCCCAGUAGUCC